AGAAAGUCCGCUUCGGUGGAUAAGUAAAGUGGCGCACGGGUGAGUAACGCGUGGAUAAUCUACCCUUAAGUUUGGAAUAACUCAUCGAAAGGUGGGCUAAUACCGAAUGAUACUGCACAACUACUGUUGUACAGUCAAAGAAGGCCUCUGCUUACAAGCUUUCGCUGAAGGAUGAGUCCGCGUACCAUUAGCUAGUUGGUAGGGUAAUGGCCUACCAAGGCGACGAUGGUUAGCUGGUCUGAGAGGAUGAUCAGCCACACUGGAACUGAGACACGGUCCAGACUCCUACGGGAGGCAGCAGUGAGGAAUAUUGCGCAAUGGGGGCAACCCUGACGCAGCAACGCCGCGUGAGUGAGGAAGGUUUUCGGAUCGUAAAGCUCUGUCGAGUGGGAAGAAAUGUGUGGUGGCUAAUAUCCAUCAUGCUUGACGGUACCGCUAAAGGAAGCACCGGCUAACUCCGUGCCAGCAGCCGCGGUAACACGGGGGGUGCAAGCGUUGUUCGGAAUUAUUGGGCGUAAAGAGCGUGUAGGCGGCUGAUUAGUCAGAUGUGAAAGCCCUGGGCUUAACCCAGGAAGUGCAUUUGAAACUGUCCGGCUUGAGUAAGGGAGAGGAAAGUGGAAUUCCUGGUGUAGAGGUGAAAUUCGUAGAUAUCAGGAGGAACACCGGUGGCGAAGGCGACUUUCUGGCCCUAUACUGACGCUGAGACGCGAGAGCGUGGGUAGCAAACAGGAUUAGAUACCCUGGUAGUCCACGCGGUAAACGAUGUUCACUAGGUGUUGGGGGGGUAUUGACCCUCUCAGUGCCGCAGCUAACGCAAUAAGUGAACCGCCUGGGGAGUACGGUCGCAAGAUUAAACUCAAAGGAAUUGACGGGGGCCCGUACAAGCGGUGGAGCAUGUGGUUUAAUUCGAUGCACGCGAAAACCUUACCUAGGCUUGACAUCCGGGGAUUCUUAGGAAACUAAAAGUGCCUUUCGGGGAACCGGUGACAGUGCUGCAUGGCU
rnacentral:rRNA from 1 species